CCCGUCGUAAACGUCUCAUCAUGUCUCUACGGGAACAGAUCGUCAACGAGGGGAAGGACAAGGCCUUUCUCCUCAGGAGGUUACAGUGUCUACAGAGACAGGGAGCAGGCAGACCUAGACCACAGGUGCACUUCGAGGAGGAGAAACCGACCAGGCCAGAGUCAGGGCAGCUUAGAGAAGAAGCACGCCCUCCUCCCUCCUUCCAACACCCAUCCACCCCCAUGGAGGCCCCCUCCGUGUUAACUCGGCCUCCCUGGGACAGCUCCCCCAGGCUAGGUAGAGCCCAGCCCCCAGUCCCCGUGGUGGUGCCCCAGAGGCAGCCCUGGUCGCGGCCGGACCCCAGCCAGCAGGCAGGCGUGCUGGGUAGAGGAGGAGCGACCAGCCCCUCCCCCUCCAGAUCCACUGUGGCCAGUCAGGGGUAGAGGAUGGCUUCAGGGAAGGCCCCACGGGGGGCCCAGAUUGGAGCCGCUGCCUUCCCGCGAGGUACCCGUCCUGCCUGGGUCGGUGCCUGAGAGCGCCCCCCCUCCCCCACGGAGACCAGGGUCCAGCAGAGCAGAGGUGAACCAGGGACAACAUCAGUCCUAGCUAGACUCAGAGAGAGGAUAGGAGCCCACAUCAACUGUCGGGCUCAGACAUGGUCUGCUUCCAAAAUGCCACACUAUUCCAUAGGACUCAGGUCAAAUGUAGUGCACUAUGUAGGGAAUAGUGUGCCAUAGAGCUCUGGUCUACAGUAGUGCACUAUGUAGGGAAUAGGGUGUCAUAGGGCUCUGGUCUAAAGUAGUGCACUAUGUAGGGAAUAGGGUGUCAUAGAGCUCUGGUCUAAAGUAGUGCACUAUGUAGGGAAAAGGGUGUUGUCCCAGAAGAAGAUUUAAGUGUUAGUUAGUUGAGAUAAAGGUAGGUGAUCUUUAUGUUGAGUUAUGUUGAUAUGCUGAGUUAUGUUGAUAUGCUGAGAUAUGUUGAUAUGCUGAGUUAUGUUGAGUUAUGUUGAUAUGCUGAGAUAUGUUGAUAUGCUGAGAUAUGUUGAUAUGCUGAGUUAUGUUGAUAUGCUGAGAUAUGUUGAUAUGCUGAGAUAUGUUGAUAUGCUGAGAUAUGUUGAUAUGCUGAGUUAUGUUGAUAUGCUGAGAUAUGUUGAUAUGCUGAGUUAUGUUGAGAUAUGUUGAUAUGCUGAGAUAUGUUGAUAUGCUGAGUUAUGUUGAGUUAUGUUGAUAUGCUGAGUUAUGUUGAGUUAUGUUGUUAUGUUGAGUUAUGUUGAUAUGCUGAGUUAUGUUGAGUUAUGUUGAUAUGCUGAGUUAUGUUGGUAGGCUGAGAUAUGUUGAUAUGCUGAGUUAUGUUGAUAUGCUGAGAUAUGUUGAUAUGCUGAGAUAUGUUGAUAUGCUGAGAUAUGUUGAUAUGCUGAGAUAUGUUGAUAUGCUGAGUUAUGUUGAUAUGCUGAGAUAUGUUGAUAUGCUGAGAUAUGUUGAUAUGCUGAGAUAUGUUGAUAUGCUGAGUUAUGUUGGCAGGGUGUUGAUUCUUUUUGAAAUUCUAAUAUUUUAUAAGUCUUGUUCUGUAUCAGUUGAUUUUGAAUUAAAUUCUUUGUCAUCUGUAAAUAACAUGUUUGAGUCAGUCAGUGGCCGUGUCUGAAAUCUGGCGUGCCUACCACCAGGGUAGUAUUGCUUCUGGAGGACUGGCGUGCCUACCACCAGGGUAGUAUUGCUUCUGGAGGACUGGCGUGCCUACCACCAGGGUAGUAUUGAUGCUGGAGGACUGGCGUGCCUACCACCAGGGUAGUAUUGCUGCUGGAGGACUGGCGUGCCUACCACCAGGGUAGUAUUGCUGCUGGAGGACUGGCGUGCCUACCACCAGGGUAGUAUUGCUGCUGGAGGACUGGCGUGCCUACCACCAGGGUAGUAUUGCUGCUGGAGGACUGGCGUGCCUACUACCAGGGUAGUAUUGCUGCUGGAGGACUGGCGUGCCUACUACCAGGGUAGUAUUGCUGCUGGAGGACUGGCGUGCCUACUACCAGGGUAGUAUUGCUGCUGGAGGACUGGCGUGCCUACUACCAGGGUAGUAGGGCUGGAGGACUGGCGUGCCUACUACCAGGGUAGUAUUGCUGCUGGAGGACUGGCGUGCCUACUACCAGGGUAGUAUUGCUGCUGGAGGACUGGCGUGCCUACUACCAGGGUAGUAUUGCUGCUGGAGGACUGGCGUGCCUACUACCAGGGUAGUAUUGCUGCUGGAGGACUGGCGUGCCUACUACCAGGGUAGUAUUGCUGCUGGAGGACUGGCGUGCCUACCACCAGGGUAGUAUUGCUGCUGGAGGACUGGCGUGCCUACUACCAGGGUAGUAUUGCUGCUGGAGGACUGGCGUGCCUACUACCAGGGUAGUAUUGCUGCUG
ensembl:lncRNA